AUUGAACGCUGGCGGCAGGCCUAACACAUGCAAGUCGAGCGAGAGGCGGACGGGUGAGUAAUGUAUGGGGACUGCCCGAUAGAGGGGGAUAACUACUGGAAACGGUAGCUAAUACCGCAUACUAUCGGAUAACCCAUAUGGGAUUAGCUCGUAGGUGAGGUAAUGGCUCACCUAGGCGACGAUCCCUAGCUGGUCUGAGAGGAUGAUACGCAAGACUGGGGCGUAGACACGGCCCACACUCCUACGGAGGGAGCAGUGGGGAAGAUUGCACAAGGGGGGCAAGCCGUAUGCAGCCAUGCCGCGUGUGUGAAGAAGGCACUAGGGUUGUAAAGUACUUUCAGGCGGGAGGCGUUACGGACAGAAGAAGCACCGGCUAACGCCGUGCCAUCAGCCGCGGUAAUAC
rnacentral:rRNA from 1 species